rnacentral:rRNA from 1 species
GUCAAGUCAUCAUGCCCCUUAUGUCCAGGGCUUCACGCAUGCUACAAUGGCCGGUACAGAGGGCUGCGAUGUCGUGAGGCGGAGCGAAUCUCUUAAAGCCGGUCUCAGUUCGGAUCGGGGUCUGCAACUCGACCCCGUGAAGUCGGAGUCGCUAGUAAUCGCGGAUCAGCAAAGCCGCGGUGAAUGCGUUCUCGGGGAUU